GGACUGCUCUUCACAUGUGUCGAAGUCAAAUCCCACCAGAAAGUCAUUAUUAAUUUUCUUCACCAAGCAAAAAAAAAAGUGAGUCAUAUGAAGGUGUGAGCAACAUUAUAUCACAUUUAAAGGAGGAAGAGCAACCUUUGUAUCUGACAUUUUUGACAUCUGCAAGAACAGAAGUGACCAUGUGGCAUACUGCUGCAACAGAGACUGGCCGGGAGAACCCCUAGUCAUGCACAAGAGAUGAGUGGCUAAAAUGGGCAUCCAGCACUGACAUUGCCUGUCAGAACCGAGAGAACAGGCAUCAAGAACAGACGUGCACUGAGAUCUGGAAGAGACGAGGUCAGAGAAACACAGCAUGCUUCUGGACCUGCUGGGAUAGCUCAGGAGUGGAGCAAGAGAAAUGAUGAGAAAAGAGGAGAGCUGACUCUCUGUCUUGCAGUUCUCGGCCUUGCAUGUUCCCUGGCUGCUCUCACUGGGUUGAGGUGGUCUGCAUACACCCUUCUCCAUGUGUUAGCUUGCAACUUAUCUGCAGAAAGGACUAUGCCUUCCCGUUCUCCUGCCUCUUCUUUCCAUUCGGCACAAACAUAAACCAUGGCUCCUCUAAGUCUACCAAGAGUAAAGAGAAACAUGGAAUACUUUAUUACAUUUUGAGUAACAUUUUGGGAAGAGCUAAAGCCAUCAUUUAAGUGUUUCUCAAAGUUCAGUUAGAUCUACCUGAGCAGCACAUCUCUAACAUGAGUUGGAAGUCCACACGGCUAGAAAGAGCCUCCUUCCGACAUUGUAUCACAUAUAUUGCACACAUCCUUCCAACACCUAGCUCUGUUGCUUCUCAGUAGUAAUGCACACUGGCUUUGUCAUACCAUCACUCAGAGGUUUAAUUCAGAUGGGGAGUUUGAGAUUUAGUGGUGUGAUCCUUCACAGGUAAUCUUCCAGGGAAUGGAAAAGACAUGGCAACGUUUCUGGGCUGGGGCUUCUGCAGCACAUAUGUGGCGAGAGGCAGAUAGCUCUCAUUUGAUACACACAAAUUCAAGUCAGUUUGCCAUUGCAGAUAAAUGCUGUCAAAGAAACAUUAAUCCCUUCUUAGAUCCAUUAUCAGUGUCACACACUAUCUGUCAUAGUGCCACAGCCUAGGGCAUCAUUCAGAGAUAGGAGAGAAUUUAGAUUUCAUUGUUGCAAAAAACAGGAGGUGCUACUAGGUGUGUUUAUUUCCAGAAAACAUAAAACUCCAGCAAUUAAUACUAUCACAAAACCAAAUACUUUCCCUUGUAAAUCCAUAUUAAAAAUAUAUGUAGAAGGAGCAGGGCAAACUAAUCUUCUCUCACAAAGCUCUUCUGUUGCCUUGUAACUGCUCCUGCUGAGAUCUGGGUCCCUUUAGUUCGUGUCACCAGCUUAAGACAGAGAACUGUCAUUCAGUACAGGUGAGACCAUCAGAUGAAUGGGUGAAGAGAUGUACUCAGAGUGAAGAAAUGCAGAUAUGACACACGUGGUAUCCCACACAACCGUUUCACAUCCCUGUAAUGUAUCACACUUCCUUUCCUCUCUGGCCCAUUGGAGAAAUGACAAAGUUGAACAGGAACAUUGCUUACUGUUUAAAUUUCAGCUAACAGAAAAUUUUCUUUAUGUUGAAUGCACCCUAACUUCUGGCUAACUCUACUCAUUCUCAAAUUUCUGUCUCAGCUUUAAGACUAAUCUGGUACUUCCUAGUGAGCCCCUGAAACUGCAGUGAGUACUUGGUUCCCUUAUGUCCCUUUCAGUCUGUCAGUAAAAAAGUAGAGAUGAGAUCUGAACAGAGAUGCAAUAAUUAAGGAACCAAGUGUUGCACUAAAAAUACCAGAUUUACAUUAGUUCAGGAUAUUACUAGCAUUACUAUAUAUUAAAUAGCAUAAUUUGUGUCCCCUUUUAAACUGCAUUUUACUAUGGCCAUGGGUUAAAGAACAUGUUAAGGUUUAGAAAUGAAUUUUCCCCUUACCAUUUCUUAUCUAAGGCUUCACUUCUGUGUGAGUAGUAUAGAUCUUUAUGAAAGGAGAAAAGAGCUUUGAAUGCCAUUUUUUAAACUUUUUUUUUUUGCAGAUAGUUUCACAUGAUAAAUGUGGAGAUCUGAAGUGCUUGGUAGCAUGUAAGGAGGUGGAUAAAUUACUGUUCAAUUAGAGCAAAAGACAUUGCUGAAAAGUACUUGUAAUGAGAUAAUUGCAAGGGCCAAAGCUGAGAGUAACACUCAGUGCUGGCAGCAGCUUAGUUAAACAUGUGGUUAAUGAUGUUAUAGGAAGAACAGGUAUGUACAAUAUUCAGCUGUGCCAGCAGUAAAUAUUAAUUUUAUGUGACAGCAAUAGUGUCUUACUGAGACUGAUAUUUGACAUACAAAACUCCCAUAAUUAUUUUAAUAUCUUCACUUACCAGUGAUUUUAAUGAUAUGACAAAGAUUUUAGGUGUUUGCUGAAACAGCACUACUGUCAUUUACUAUCAAUCAAGUAAAAUGUCAUUCUAAUUCAUUUCGCUGCAAAAAUCAGAAC